AAUGAAGCAAUACCCAAGGAGGAGGCCUGAUUGAAGGUCCAGCAGAGCAGCCUGGCUAAUGGGCAGUAACUAUCAAAGCUUAGCCCGAAGAUGUGUCCCUGAUGUGAAGCCCAGCUCCAAGGACCUUCCCUCCUGCCACCUGACCUGAGAUAGCCAGUCAAUUUGGUUGUGUUCAAGAUCUGCAGAGUGCCCAUCUGGACAAAGUUCAUCAAUAUGGCUACAGCAUCAUUUACAU